CUAAAUGAAUUUGAGAUAUCUUGAAUUAUUCAGCUUUUCCAUUUAAGAUAUCUUAAAUUGACAUUCUGACUAGUCAAAAUGACAUUACUGAUAUCUUGAAUUAGCAUUCUGUCUAGUCAAAACGUCACAGAUUUACGUAACAUUUUGGCGGAUACUAGCCUUCGGCUACUUGAUUAUGCUAUUCAGUGGUCCACAGUGUCAGAUCAGUCCAGCUCAAAUGUUCGUGUUUUUAACAAUAUUCAGCGCUGCAACUCGUGCUUGACAUGAAUUAAGAAAUACAUGUUGCAGAGAAUAAUUUAUUCUUUGCAACAAGAAGACUUUUUCGACGUCAAGUGCAGAGAAGUCAAGGUAAGUGGAUGUUCAGUUAUCGGUUCAUAUAACUGUAGCUUUCCAAGCUACGUUAGCUUCGUGCUAGUGGAAUAAUUAAAUAUUUAUUGGGAAAAUUUAAGUAGCCUAUUUAGUUAGCACUGGAGUUGCCAUCCGCCCUAUAAAAUAUGGAAUUGUCUACAAGAUACGGAAUAGUCCGGUAUUUUGGCAAAUAAAUUUUACGUCCCGAAGCGAUAUGGAAAGCGAUUUGUAGUGUAUAUGAUUUGUUCCUAUCUCGCACCAGCAGCGGGCGAGAGGCGGGGUACACCUGGACAGGUAGCCAGUCCAUCGCAGUCUGUUCAUUAGGAUAAAUGAAAUUAUUGGCUUUCAUAUUUUUAUUUCACAAUUUUCAUAAUCUACAUGAGAAGCCACAAUGGGCGUUUCUUCUUGAAACUUAUGAAAGGUGGCAUCCCCAGUUACACACUCCAUGUUAUAGAAUAUCAGUUAGCAUCUAUGAUGGAUCAAUAGUGUGAUUCUGUUGUGUUCAUUGCAGCUCGGCUGGGAGGCUGCCAAGCUCUGUAUGGAAGACAAAUAUUUUCUUGCUUUCUGGCCCUAAAAUUGACGUCCUCCCUUCUCCCUCAGAUGUACAAAGACUGAAGGACCAUGGAUUAGGCCUGUGCAUGAGGGGACAGAAACCAGAAGCUCCAAAAUUAACCUGAAUUGGAGCUUGUCUGAACUGAACAACUUUGUGUGUCAAAGCUACCCACACAUCAGCCUAAAUCUGGUUGGCUUUGAACUGGCAAGAGCUGGAAAAGGACGAAAGGAAACCUGUCAACCUCAGCAAUGUCCAGGAGUUUGUUUGCAGAACCCUCAACUGCACCAGAAGUACAGGACGUCUCUCCAGAGGUUGAGAGAGUACCAACAGACAACAUUUGGAGGAAGAGCAGAUUGGCGAUCUCUGCGGUCCCAGCAAGACGAAGAGUACGAAGAGUCUUUUUUAGCAGACCAAGAAAAUAAGGAGAAUGCAGUCCCAUUACCCUUGGAAUGAUACUGGAAUUUGCUUCUGGAGCAUCCACGGUACCUCCACUGGGCUUUCACCAUCGUCCACAAAUUGAAUUCCUCCAUGAGUCUAACAGAGUCUUCCCAGAAGCAAAUACUUGCCUGAUAGUACUCUGCCUUCCUGUACACCCAGACUAUGAGUCUUUCACAAAGUACAUGACAGACGGGGUGCUGCAGGGACCUACCUUUGGUGUUGCAUAAUCAGCUAAUAACUGUAAUAAGCAUUUCUUUUAAAAUAGAGUUGGAAUGUUUUGAAAAGUUAAGUAUUUUAAAGCAAGUUAUAGUAAAGGUAAUGUAAUGGCCGAAAUAUUGGAAUGUAAAUACAAUAUUGGCUUCUCUUGUUUUUUGCAAAGAAUAGGAGUCUUUUUAACCACUUUUUGGUUUCACAAUUUAAAGGUGUACAUUUAAGCCACACUGCAAAUCAAAAGGUCUACUCUGGUAAUGAACACUGCUCAAUUGCUCUCCAGAAUGUGUAAUUAAUUUGUCAUAUCUUUAAACACCUUAACAUUUAUAAUUAAAUCUGAAAGGUUACCUACUCAUGUCAAUUCUGAGUUUUAUUUGUAGUAAUUGUAGCUUUAGAACAAUGCAUUUGAUCAAAUGUUCUGUGACAUGUACUUAAAUCAAUAAAGCAUUUGCAGUUUCUGCACAACAGACCUGGUAUUUCUCCUUCAGAUCUGAAAUAUGAUUGACUGCAAGAUUAAAUGACUGAGGUCGGUGCCAACUGAGCCUGGUCCGAGGUGGUUCUACAACUACACUAGGAACCUCUUCAGCAACAGUGGUUGGUAGUGGCCAAAGGCCAUGCUGUUGCAGAGUCUCUGAUUAGCUGGAACUUUCACCAAACACGUUGUUAGUUGCUGUGCUGUUUGCCAACAUCCGUUCAGUGCAGAUUUCUGUUGGUGUUUUAUUGUUUUCUGUAUGCAAGGAAUGGUGGUUCCAUGACUUUCUGAAUUGUUCCAGUCGGCUUUGAAUCUCAGGAAGAAAAACUAUGUGAAGAGAAAGUUUGUGCACAUCAUUGCUGGGAUCCAAGAGGGCUGAAUCUUUAAGAUUAUAAAAUGUGCUAUAAAAUGGUUCCAGAACAUGUAAAACCACAUCCCUCCAAAGACGCUCAACUCUGAUUAUGGAUGGAUUCCCCAGUUAGAUGACUCCGACGUUCAUCACCAGUGCCACAUUCUCUCCACUAUGGUCUGACCUCACUCUAGAAGGUAAACCAUAGAGGCCUGUUGCCUUGAGAAAAUGAAAUAGCACUGUUGAGGUGUGAUUGUCUGUGCUGCAGUUCAAGUAGGUAACUAAGCGAGAACAUCCAUUGAUGCCACCAUGGACCACAAAGCCCCACCUUGGGCCAAAAGAAAGUCGAUCUGCUCUUUUAUAAUAUGAAUAACUGGUCUACCUCGACCACCUAAAAUAGAAUCAUAUUUUAGGUGGUCUUAGCAUAAUGUUUACUUUAUACAUCUGUUUUUUUCUGUUUGUCUAUAUCUGUCUAUCCUCUGCAGGUGUCCCUGUAUCUCCUAAAGGUGACACUAUGCAUUUCACACUGUGUAUAAAUUUAUUUUGAUAUACAUAAUUUCCUGUUACAAAUGCAUGAACACAAAGCUUUAAACUUUUAUAGACGCUGGAAAGCAACUUAAAGUGUGAAUCAGACAUGAACCGGGGUGCGCUUUUAUUUUCAGAGGAGCUAAAGGAUGGGUGUAGUGCCGUGUAGUAUGUCAAAAUCAAGAGCUGGCUGGCUUUACUAUAAUUUCCGAAAAGGCAGAUAGCUUUACCACAGUAUAAAAACUACAUCUGGUUAUUACUUGAACUGGCCCGGGCUGCGGAAUAUUAAUAUCAAUACAAUAAAAUCGCGCUCUCCGCAUAUCCCAUACUGAAGAGCUCUUUCCAUAUUGUGGCAUUUUCUUACAAUUUUGUCCAAAACUGCCAGCACCAUUGAAUUUGUUCAGGCAAUUGUUUGGACAGCUCAGUACAGCCAAAGAGGGGCUUACACGCAAUCUCUUAAUUCAGAUAUCUAAAAUUGUAAUUCUGACUAGUCAUAAUUACGUUCGAGAUAUCUUAAAUUAUAAUUACGGAUGUGUGACCCUUCUAAUGACGAAUCCGAUGACGUCAUAUGAGAUAUCUUGAAAGGAAUUUUGACUAGUCAAAAUGAAAUUGAAGAUAUCUUGAAUUAUUAUUCUUCCUAGUCAGAAUGUAAAUACAGAUAUCUUAAAUUACCAUUCCGGAUAGUCAAAAUGUAGUUUUGUCUAGUCAAAAUGCAAUUUUAGAUAUCUAGAAUGUAAUUACGGAUAGUCAGACGAAACCGAAUUUAUGUUAA